rnacentral:rRNA from 1 species
ACUACGGGAGGCACCAGUGGGGAAUAUUGCACAAUGGGCGCAGGCCUGAUGCAGCCAUGCCGCGUGUGUGAAGAAGGCCUUCGGGUUGUAAAGCACUUUCAGCGGGGAGGAAGGCGGUGAGGUUAAUAACCUCAUCGAUUGACGUUACCCGCAGAAGAAGCACCGGCUAAGCCCGUGCCAGCAGCCGCGGUAAUACGGAGGGUGCAAGCGUUAAUCGGAAUUACUGGGCGUAAAGCGCACGCAGGCGGUCUGUCAAGUCGGAUGUGGAAUCCCCGGGCUCAACCUGGGAACUGCAUUCGAAACUGGCAGGCUAGAGUCUUGUAGAGGGGGGUAGAAUUCCAGGUGUAGCGGUGAAAUGCGUAGAGAUCUGGAGGAAUACAGGUGGCGAAGGCGGCCCCCUGGACAAAGACUGACGCUCAGGUGCGAAAGCGUGGGGAGCAAACAGGAUUAGAUACCCGUGUAGUC